rnacentral:lncRNA from 1 species
GAAGGCGUCAGACCUUCCCCCAAGGUACAUUUCUCCCCGACUUCCAUAGGGAAGGCUGUUUGAGCCUGAAAGCAAGAGUUGGGAAAUGCAAUUAAUUUUCCUGUCUGUGACCACAGUGACUACCAGAACAUGCCGAGCAGACUUGUGACAACUAGGAUAUUAAUCAAGGAUGCCCCAGUGCUGUGCUGUGAAAUUCAACAGUGGAUUUGCACCAAGGCUUCCUUUGCAUGGGCUGCCCCGAGCCAGCUACUGCACAGGGUGGUGAUGCUAAGGUGGACACAUUCUUGGAGGAAGCUUCCAGCCAUUGGAGGCACUAUGAGGAUGGCUGGCAUCAGGGGACAUCUCCCGGUGGGAACAAGAGGAAUCUGCGCAUGAACCCCAAGUGAAGGAAGGACCAUAUCUCUGACUGCCUGAGGCAGGAACGAGUGACAGCCCAAGCUGAUUCAGGAGCCUGUGCAGCAUUUUUGGGGGGCAUCCAGGAAUAUUUUAGGGAGGUGAGGAUGCCAUGAAAGCCAAAUUUCCAGAAAGUGAGAUUUAAAAAUUAAUAUUGGUAUUGCUAAGACUUGGAAGAAGUCCCACAAGCCACUGGAUGGUGAAAGACUAAAUAAGAAAGUGUAAAGAAAAGAGAAGUGAGUUAGUAUCUUAUUUCCAGCAUUUUCACCUCAGCAUGACUUGACAUCUAAACAGUGAACCUCCAAAGUGCAGGGGAUUUGUCCUGUCCCUCUUUUAAGCCACACAUACAGAAUAUAUUUCAUUGCUUUAUAAGAAUUUUCAGUCGAUUAAAGACUUUGUGAAGUAUUUAACAAUAAAUUCUCACUUUUAAAAAGAAGCAAGAAGCAUGCUGAGCCCCUGAACUAUUUAUUGUAUCAACAAUGACUUCUUUAUCAGUCUCAGAAAAUGAGUGCUAUCUUCUUCCCAAAGAGAUGGGCAGCCUCCAAAAUGGCUCCCAAUACUCCUCGUUUGCCAAGAGUUGUAACUCUUCAUGAAAUCCUUCUCUGAGCAGGUGCUGAGCCUUAUGACUUCAUCCUGAUGAAUAGAAUAUGGGCUAACAUUUCCAAGAUUAGGUUAUACAGAGACUAUAACUCACUUGUUGUUCAUAUUCCCUCCCUCUCCCUCUUCUUCUCUGGGUCUGUAUGUGUGUGUUUCUGAAUCAGAGGCAUAUAGCUGCAAGGUAUCCAGAUUCUUGACUCACAAAGCUAUAAUUAAUGUUUGUUAUUUUAAGCUACUAAGUUUGGGAGCAAUUUCUUAUAUACAGAUAACAAACAUUAUAUUCUUGGUCCAAUGCAAUAGACUUGAGGUAUUGUCUAGAAAGGUUUUCAAAGCUUUCACAUCUUCAUUCAGCAUCAAACCAUCCCUGAUUUCCAUAAAGGAUGAUGUCACAAGUGUUUGUUGGCUGUUG